CCUAAGGCCAAGCUGGUCUGAAUGCAUCCAAUCUCAUCUCAUCUCCAAAGCUGAUCAAUAAUCAGUCUAUUUGGUACUUGGAUGGGGGACCAGCUGGGAACACCAGAAGCUAUUAAGA
rnacentral:rRNA from 1 species